rnacentral:tRNA from 1 species
GGGCUCGUCGUUCAAUGGUAGUGACCCGAUUCUUAUAAAAUCGUGACGGAGGUCCGAUUCCUCCCGAGCCCA